rnacentral:rRNA from 1 species
AUUGAACGCUGGCGGCAGGCCUAACACAUGCAAGUCGAACGAGUGGCGGACGGGUGAGUAAUGUCUGGGCAACUGCCUGAUGGAGGGGGCUAACUACUGGAAACGGUAGCUAAUACCGCAUACCAUCGGAUGUGCCCAGAUGGGAUUAGCGAGUAGGUGGGGUAACGGCGUACCUAGGCGACGAGCCCUAGCGGGUCUGAGAGGAUGACCAGCCACACUGGAACUGAGACACGGUCCAGACUCCUACGGGAGGAAGCAGGGGGGAAUAUUGCACAAUGGGCGAAAGCCUGAUGCAGCCAGGCCGCGUGUAUGAAGAAGGCCUUCGGGUUGUAAAGUACUGUCAGCGGGGAGGCGUUACCCGCAGAAGAAGCACCGGCUAACUCCGUGCCAGCAGCCGCGGUAAUUC